rnacentral:miRNA from 1 species
CUUGUCCUGGUUCAUGUAGGGC